rnacentral:lncRNA from 1 species
CAACACCAUCAUCUUCAUCCUCAUCUCAUCUUCCAUAACUUCUCCUCUUCAAUUUCUUGAGGUGGGUUCUAGUUAGAAACUCUAGGUUUCUAGAAAAGUUAGGGUUAUAGAAUCAUAUACAAAGCAUGAACAAUCCAUGCUAUGUGAUGAAUAUUACUCUUGAUGUUGUUGUUUUUUUGAACAUGUGCUUGAUAUGUUCUUUGUGAUUGUUGUGAUAAUAUAAUUUGUUAUGGUUAUGGUAAAAUGAUUGGUUAUGAUUAUGACUUUGGAAUCCUUAAUAAAUAUGUGUGUAAGAACAU